UACGUAGGGCGCAAGCGUUGUCCGGAAUUAUUGGGCGUAAAGAGCUCGUAGGCGGUUUGUCGCGUCUGUCGUGAAAGCUUGGGGCUUAACCCCAAGUCUGCGGUGGAUACGGGCAGACUAGAGGCAGGUAGGGGAGAACGGAAUUCCCGGUGUAGCGGUGAAAUGCGCAGAUAUCAGGAGGAACACCGGUGGCGAAGGCGGAUCUCUGGGCCAUUACUGACGCUGAGGAGCGAAAGCGUGGGGAGCGAACAGG
rnacentral:rRNA from 1 species